CCUACGGGCGGCAGCAGUGAGGAAUAUUGGUCAAUGGACGCAAGUCUGAACCAGCCAUGCCGCGUGCAGGAAGACGGCUCUAUGAGUUGUAAACUGCUUUUGUACGAGGGUAAACGCAGAUACGCGUAUCUGUCUGAAAGUAUCGUACGAAUAAGGAUCGGCUAACUCCGUGCCAGUAGCCGCGGUAAUACGGAGGAUUCAAGCGUUAUCCGGAUUUAUUGGGUUUAAAGGGUGCGUAGGCGGUCGGAUAAGUUAGAGGUGAACUCCCGAGGCUCAACUUCGGAAUUGCCUCUGAUACUGUUCGGCUAGAGAGUAGUUGCGGUAGGCGGAAUGUAUGGUGUAGCGGUGAAAUGCUUAGAGAUCAUACAGAACACCGAUUGCGAAGGCAGCUUACCAAGCUACUUCUGACGUUGAGGCACGAAAGCGUGGGGAGCAAACAGGAGUAGAUACCCGAGUAGUC
rnacentral:rRNA from 1 species